AUUGGCUGCUUGUUUAUAUAAUACAACUGUUCUAGAAAGUAGAAAGUAUGUAAACGAGGGGAAAUUCUCCCUGUAUGAUGACCGAGAAAGACAGAUGUUCACUGUGAGUAUCAAACAUGCGACUGAGCAGGACUCCGAGGAAUACUGGUGUGGAGCUGAAGUAGACUGGAAAUCUGAUCAUGGAUACAAGGUUUAUUUCACACGGAUCGACCUGACCGUUACUGGAUUUCCAGUUUCCUCUGUGAUUGCUGUGUGUUUAAGUCUGCUGGUGCUCCUGAUUGGAAUCCCAUGCCUCAUUGUGAUGCUCCAAAAGAGAUGCCCAGAAACAAUGACGCCAGCUUUCAGAGGGACCAAUGGAGAUCAUGAAAAUAACCCAGAUGUGCUUCCUCUUCAAUCAAGACAAAACAUCAGUCUACCAGAGACUCCCUACCAGGGUCUGAACCGCAACACCUUCCAAUCAGAUUCAACGUACCAAAGUCUCAUGCGUUAAACCUAACAACCAGAUUCCGACUACCAAAGUCUCAAAUAAGGCUGAUGGCUUUUCCAUUAACCUGGAUUGGUCUUGAUUCAAAAUCCAAU
ensembl:lncRNA